GAACGCUGGCGGCAUGCUUUACACAUGCAAGUCGAACGGCAGCACAGGGAGCUUGCUCCCGGGUGGCGAGUGGCGCACGGGUGAGUAAUACAUCGGAACGUGUCCUGUUGUGGGGGGAUAACUGCUCGAAAGGGUGGCUAAUACCGCAUGAGACCUGAGGGUGAAAGCGGGGGAUCGCAAGACCUCGCGCAAUUGGAGCGGCCGAUGCCCGAUUAGCUAGUUGGUGAGGUAAAGGUUCACCAAGGCGACGAUCGGUAGCUGGUCUGAGAGGACGACCAGCCACACUGGGACUGAGACACGGCCCAGACUCCUACGGGAGGCAGCAGUGGGGAAUUUUGGACAAUGGGGGCAACCCUGAUCCAGCCAUGCCGCGUGCAGGAUGAAGGCCUUCGGGUUGUAAACUGCUUUUGUCAGGGACGAAAAGGACCGUGUUAAUACCAUGGUCUACUGACGGUACCUGAAGAAUAAGCACCGGCUAACUACGUG
rnacentral:rRNA from 1 species